CUGGCUCUGAACUGAGGCAGACAAUUGUGGACCAACAACAGGGAUCACAUCCCUCAGUCCUGCAAGACACCAAGUCUGCCUAACGGGACGAUGGCACCUGCUUUCCUGCCUUCGCUCCCUCCUGGGGCUGAGGGAGCAGCUGGGGCUUGGCCGGCGGGCCCUCUGCUCUCUCUUGUACUUGCCAGACCAGAAGGAGCCCUCUCUCCCCAAACCAGCCUCCCCCAGGAAAAGAUAUUUCCCGGGCCUGCUCCGCUGCACCUCCUCCUCGAAACGCAGACGCCACGGUCCACACGUUGCAGAAAACUGCAUAAACUACACUCUUUCGGGGCGGGGGGAGGCGGUGCGGGGCGCAGAGGCCCUGGUCCCCCCAUCCUGUGGGUGAUCCCAGCAUGCGAACGGCGGCAG
rnacentral:lncRNA from 12 species